CGUGGCUCUGACUAACGCUGGCGGUGUGCUUUCACCUACUAGUUCAACGAUGGAAGCCCAGCUUGCUGGUUGGAUUGUUGGCGAAUUGCUGAAUAUUACGUGAGUAGCCUGCCUUUACCUCUGGGAUAAGCCUUGGAAACGGGGUCUAAUACCGGAUACAACCAACCUUCCCUUGAGGUGUUGAUGUAAAGGGAUUUUGUACUGGUUUUACAUGGUUUCUGGGACUAUCUCCUUGUUGGUGAGGUAACGGCCUUUCUAGGCGACAAUGGGUAGCCGGCCUGACAGGGUGAUCGGGCACACUGAUGACUGAGACUCGGCCCCGACUCUCUACCGGAU
rnacentral:rRNA from 1 species